UGAAUAUUGUGACUGAUUGGUAGGCUAAAUGUGAUGUUAUAGAUGAUGAAAAUUGAGACUUGGACCUAGAACGGAAAGAAAUCGAUUUAUGGACGAGUAUGUCCUUUUCACAUUUGUGGUAUCGAGAGUUCCAGGUUAGCUCGGGUUGGAGGCCGUCAGAGAUAUUAUCACCCUAUCGAGUUAACGUUAUCGAGUAAGUAAACUCAAGUGAUUCGAGUCUAUGGCAUGUAUAGGGUUUUAAUGUGAGUAUGUAAUAUUAUGAUUUAGCCAAAGGCAUUGGCUUGUUAUUAAGGUAGUAUUAGUCAUGUAAAUUGGCCUAUGUCGGCUAAUGACGUUAUGGGCCCAUAUGAUUAUUCUUAUGCAUUUAUGUUAUUAUUUCUUGUGAUGUGGCUUACAACAUGUAUGCCUAGAGAUUGAAUUGAGAUUCAUUGAUGAGCUAGUAACUAAUGCAGGAUUAAGUGAUUGGUAAAUAGUUAAUAA